AUUGAACGCUGGCGGCAGGCCUAACACAUGCAAGUCGAACGGUAACAGGGAGCUUGCUGCUGGAUUCAGGGGCAGAGGCGUGCGUAAUGCCUAGGAAUGUGCCUGGGAGUGGGGGAUAACGUCCGGAAAUGGGCGCUAAUGCCACAUACGCACUGAGUGAGAAAGUGGGGGAGCUUGGGCUCUCACGCUCUCAGAUGCGCCUAUGUCGGAUUAGCUGGUUGGUGGGGUAAAGGCCCACCAAGGCGACGAUCCGUAGCUGGUCUGAGAGGAUGAUCAGUCACACUGGAACUGAGACACGGUCCAGACUCCUACGGGAGGCAGCAGUGGGGAAUAUUGGACAAAGGGCGAAAGCCUGAUCCAGCCAUGCCGCGUGUAUGAAGAAGGUCUUCGGGUUGUAAAGUACUUUAAGCUGGGAGGAAGGGCAUUAAGUUAAUACCUUGGUGUAUUGACGUUACCAACAGAAUAAGCACCGGCUAACUUCGUG
rnacentral:rRNA from 1 species